UACGGAGGGGACUAGCGUUGUUCGGAAUUACUGGGCGUAAAGCGCACGUAGGCUGAUUUGUAAGUCAGGGGUGAAAUCCCGGGGCUCAACCUCGGAACUGCCUUUGAUACUGCAAAUCUCGAGUCCGGAAGAGGUGAGCGGAAUUCCUAGUGUAGAGGUGAAAUUCGUAGAUAUUAGGAAGAACACCAGUGGCGAAGGCGGCUCACUGGUCCGGUACUGACGCUGAGGUGCGAAAGCGUGGGGAGCAAACAGG
rnacentral:rRNA from 1 species